rnacentral:rRNA from 1 species
GGCUCUUUGUUUGGUGAUGCAUAGAGAGUCGGACCUGCCCAAUGACAUGGUGUUUAAUGGCCGCGGUACUCUGACCGUGCGAAGGUAGCAUAAUCAUUUGUUUUUUAAUUGAAGACUGGAAUGAAUGGUUUGACGAAAACAAGACUGUCUCUUUUUUAUUAAAUAGAAAUUAAUUUUGAAGUGAAGAAGCUUUAAUUUUUGUAAAAGACAAGAAGACCCUAUUGAGCUUUAUUGUGUGUUGCUAAGGCUGUUUUAUAUUGUGGUAGAUGAUGAGGGUGAGUAGUGUAUGGUUUAGUUGGGGCGACUGAGGAAUAUAUAAAACUUCCUUUAGGUGUAUUUGGUAGAUAAAUAUUGUGGUCCGAUAGUAUCGAUUAAAAGAAAUAGUUACCAUAGGGAUAACAGCGUUAUUUUUCUUGAGAGUUCUAAUCGAAAGAAAAGAUUGCGACCUCGAUGUUGGAUUGAGAUAUCUAAAGGGUGUAGCAGCUCUUUGGGUUGGUCUGUUCGACCAUUAAAAUUUUACA